AGGAUAGGUGGUGACGUAGUUAUGUUAGAAGGAUUGCGUCAGCGCAGGACCAAAUAUAAUUUGAAGCAAUACAAAAAAAAUCCCUUUGGAAUAUACGAUUGAUUAUUGGCAGGUCGCAAAUCUAGGAACAGCUAAAUCAACAAGAAAGUUUAUGAAAUAUCCUCAGAAUAGCACUGCUCAGCAAACCGCAAAGGCGCAAACUGAGCUUUAAGCUAGCUAUGUGCUAGAAUGCAGCAAGAUAUUGAGUCUGGCACAUACCUUGUGGUGCUUCGUCGCCAAAAGUUUUGUAUGCAGUUGUUUCUUUGGCUUCGACCACAUCAAUAUCUACUACCAGCGACGCAUCGACUUCACCACCUCCAUUAAGGAACUACUUAGUAUUGCGUGGAACUGGUUAAAUUCUGAAGCCCUUUGCCCUCAGUUCACUAAUGAGGGUCCUGUAGAUGCCUGCAUCAUAUCAUACAGUGAUGAUUUAAUCUUUCGAUUUAAGACCGUCAGAUCAAAUUGUAAGGUAGGCAGUUUGUUACCGGUCUGAUACCACAGUGAAUGUUUUCCUUCACUUUCCCUGUACCAUGGUGCCAUGAUCAGUAAAUUUUCUCCAGGAACCUUUGAGCGCUGCACCUACAACAUAACAAAUAUUGGGUCUGCCAAUGGAUUGAAGAGAAUCAAAUGGUAGCGAUGGCACUUUUUAUUGGCAGACGCCAUGAUCUCCAUCGUGUGCCUGGUUUGGUAUUAUGACUACGCUUUGCUUUGUGCAGCUUUAUAUUUUAGAUAAGUAUUGUCUAUAUGUUUACAAGAAGUUUUUAAAAUUAUAGCAGAGUCAGUUGCCCAAAUUGCAUUAUGAACCUAAUCUUAUUUUUACUCCUCCAGGUUACAUGAAGUUCAUGUUGAUGAUCUACCAUGACCAUCCACGUUCGUUGACAUCCUAGCAGCAAAAGAUAAUCAUAGGAAGACUAGGUGCCAUUAUUUACCCAAAUUGCAUGAAAAAAUGGUCUGGCUUCAUAUGUUGCUAACUUAGCCAUGACAAGGCAUCUCAUUUGAUCUUUAUAAAACUUAUCUUUGCAACACUAAGCUAAAACCUAACCUGCUAUCUACUUCAGCAUGUAUUUCACCGAGUUCAUGGUGUAAUGAAUUAGAAAAAAGUGAUAUGGACAAAACAGUUUGCUUAAUCCUCCUCAGAUUUUUUUAUAGCAGUACCUUCUGCUGCUCCUGCUGUAUUUACACAAUUUGUGCUCUCAUAGUGUUCUGAAAAUUCAGUGCCUAAGAUAAGUACUUAGUUCAAAGUCUCCAACCAUUUUCAACAUAGGAAAGAAUCUCUAGGUACAGUUAAUACUUGGAAUUAUUAAUUUUUAUGUUACACAUAAUGCACUAAUAAGGGGAUAUCU